rnacentral:rRNA from 1 species
GAUCCUGGCUCAGGAUGAACGCUAGCUACAGGCUUAACACAUGCAAGUCGAGGGGAAACGACAUCGAAAGCUUGCUUUUGAUGGGCGUCGACCGGCGCACGGGUGAGUAACGCGUAUCCAACCUGCCCAUCACUUGGGAAUAACCUUGCGAAAGUAAGACUAAUGCCCAAUGAUAUCCCACGAAGGCAUCCGAAUGGGAUUAAAGAUUUAUCGGUGAAUUGGGAUUGGGGAUGCGUCUGAUUAG